rnacentral:rRNA from 1 species
AUUGAACGCUGGCGGCAGGCCUAACACAUGCAAGUCGAGCGGAUGAAGGGAGCUUGCUCCUGGAUUCAGCGGCGGACGGGUGAGUAAUGCCUAGGAAUCUGCCUGGUAGUGGGGAUAACGUCCGGAAACGGGCGCUAAUACCGCAUACGUCCUGAGGGAGAAAGUGGGGGAUCUUCGGACCUCACGCUAUCAGAUGAGCCUAGGUCGGAUUAGCUAGUUGGUGGGGUAAAGGCCUACCAAGGCGACGAUCCGUAACUGGUCUGAGAGGAUGAUCAGUCACACUGGAACUGAGACACGGUCCAGGCUCCUACGGGAGGCAGCAGUGGGGAAUAUUGGACAAUGGGCGAAAGCCUGAUCCAGCCAUGCCGCGUGUGUGAAGAAGGUCUUCGGAUUGUAAAGCACUUUAAGUUGGGAGGAAGGGCAGUAAGUUAAUACCUUGCUGUUUUGACGUUACCAACAGAAUAAGCACCGGCUAACUUCGUG